rnacentral:misc_RNA from 1 species
AACUUUUGACAACGGAUCUCUUGGUUCUAGCAUCGAUGAAGAACGCAGCAAAAUGCGAUAGGUAAUGUGAAUUGCAGAAUUCCGUGAAUCAUCAAAUCUUUGAACGCACAUUGCGCCUUCUGGUAAUCCGGAAGGCAUGCUUGUCUGAGCGUCAUUACACUAUUCAAACCUUUCUUUUAUUAGAAGUGGCUUGGUUUUGGAAGCAAAUUGUCAGUUUUACUACUGCAGUUUCUUCUGUAAUGCAUUGACGAGAGUCUACUGGUCCUUAGUCUUGGCAAGCCAUUGCUCGACUUCAGCGUAGUAGUAGAUGUCCUUCUUUCUAUUGAUUAGUCCUACGUGAUUAACAGCUUAAAGUUUGGUUUCAGAUCAGGUAGAAAUCCCAGCUGACCUUAAGUAUAACAAUAAGCGGAGGCU